rnacentral:piRNA from 1 species
UGUGACUAACAUGUCUCAGUGACAAUAAAU